UUGGAGGUGAUGAUUAUUUCCCCAGAUGAUCGAAGCUGAACAAUCUGUGCGAUUUUUCUCUAUUGAGAAACCAAGCCAAAUAAUCUGAUCCAU